GAUACCCAUAGACAGAUACCAGAGAAAAGUCUCUGUGAAUAAAACGGAUAUUAUCUCAAAUAUAAUCUCGAUUACAGAUUGCAGAUAACGAGGAUAUGAAGAACAUGAAGAUGGACUGGUUUCACAUGCAGAUGUUGCAGCAUCUGCAUCUGAGGUUGAGAAGACACUCAGUCUACCUGCCAAUCCUCAUCUGAUUUUGCUGGUCAACAUUUUUGACUGCAGUUGCAACAGUGUUUGCUGUGCACUACAUCUUCAACCUGCAGUAUCAAGAGGCGGCUUGUUGCACGUUAGAGUUUUUUCAAAGAUGAUUCUAUGGAAUAAACCCAGAAAGAGGCUCAAAGACCUGCCGAGGCAAGGUAGUCUCCAAGAAGACGGGGAAGGUGGUGAAUAAGAAGUCCACUACAGUCAAUCCAAAGGUUGCCACUCUACAAAAAAAUCGAAUGGACUUCAAAUGGGACUUCAUC